rnacentral:tRNA from 1 species
UAGCUCAGCAGGAUAGAGCAGCAGCCUUCUAAGCUGAUGAUGCGGGUUCGAUUCCCGC